AGUGAACGCUGGCGGCAGGCCUAACACAUGCCAGUCGAACGGCAGCACAAGAGAGCUUGCUCUCUGGGUGGCGAGUGGCGGACGGGUGAGGAAUGCAUCGGAAUCUGCCCAUUUGUGGGGGAUAACCUCGGGAAACCGGGACUAAUACCGCAUACGACCUACGGGUGAAAGCAGGGGAUCUUCGGACCUUGCGCAGAUGGAUGAGCCGAUGCCGGAUUAGCUAGUUGGAGGGGUAAAGGCCCACCAAGGCGACGAUCCGUAGCUGGUCUGAGAGGAUGAUCAUCCACACUGGGACUGAGACACGGCCCAGACUCCUACGGAAGGCAGCAGUGGGGAAUAUUGGACAAUGGGCGCAAGCCUGAUCCAGCCAUGCCGCGUGUGUGAAGAAGGCCUUCGGGUUGUAAAGCACUUUUGUUGGGAAAGAAAAGCAGCCGGUUAAUACCCGGUUGUCAUGACGGUACCCAAAGAAUAAGCACCGGCUAACUUCGUG
rnacentral:rRNA from 1 species